rnacentral:lncRNA from 1 species
CCGCAAUUCCCGUCACGGAGUGCGUCCUCUAGCGCGGGGCGGAAGACCCGCGAAGUGUUCAAGCGGCCGCAGAGCGGCCCAGAGUUCGCAGGUCUGGGGCUCUCUUCCCAGAGAGCUCGUAGGGGAGGACAGUCAAGGGACUCAAGCGUCUCUCUUGACUCCCCUUCUCUCGCUGUGCAGUGGCGGCGCCGAGGGGUCGACGCUCAGGGCUAAUCUCUAUGAGUCACCCUCGAGGCCCCGGGUAAUAUUGGGUGGAUCACAAGAACUAAUCUUUCAUGAUUUGGAAACCGGAAGGAAAGAAGCACUUUUGUAGCUGACUUACCUCAAUGACAUGACCAGUGUCUGAGCCUACAACUGCGCUAUCUUCCCUGGAUUUUUCUUCACCUUUUCCUUACUCAUGAGCCAGGUAUCCCGGAAGCCUGAAGGGAAAGGUUCAAGUCCAGGCUUCCAUUAAAACCCCACUAAUAGACUUGUUCUGCCAUCAAUCAGCCACAGACCUGUACUGCAAGAUGCCUACUACACACCCAGUGCUGAGCUGUGGAAAAUCCAGAACACACGUGACCACAGACAAUCAUGAAGGCGCUGAUAAUAGCAGCUUCUCAAAGGGAAAAUUGUGUCCGGGACCCGCUGGAUGGAGCUAAGAUUGGAACUGAGGUCUGGCUAUAAAGCUGCCUUUAUGUCCAUCGCAUCCUAAGGGCUGCUGUUGCUCUUCUGCCUCUACACUGAUGGACUACGUCAGAACAUCAAUAUGCUGUAUUGAUGAUAAUGGAUGAUAUUUUCUUAGUUGUGCCAAUAUUAC